UACGUAGGGUGCGAGCGUUAAUCGGAAUUACUGGGCGUAAAGCGUGCGCAGGCGGUUUUGUAAGCCAGAUGUGAAAUCCCCGGGCUUAACCUGGGAAUGGCAUUUGGGACUGCAUAGCUGGAGUACGGUAGAGGGGGAUGGAAUUCCGCGUGUAGCAGUGAAAUGCGUAGAUAUGCGGAGGAACACCGAUGGCGAAGGCAAUCCCCUGGGCCUGCACUGACGCUCAUGCACGAAAGCGUGGGGAGCAAACAGG
rnacentral:rRNA from 1 species